UGAAUGACUCAUUCGCUUG
rnacentral:snRNA from 1 species